AAUGAAGUACAAAAGCUGUAUUUAUUUGAAUUAUAAGUGCUAUAAAUUUGCUUUAAGAAACUUACAAGUGCAGWGAAACAAGUAAAAUAAUAACAGGAGAGCUACUUUUCUGCAUGUUUAAACAGUUGUCACAAAAAAGCAGAGGUCUUAAAGGUGUUCCUCCAAGUUUUUGUUUGGACUGAGGAAGUUUCCAAGUACACACAUCUGAUCAAGCAUUCUUCUGCUCAUUGGGACUUGACAGGACAUGUUUUGAUGUCAGGAGGGUAAAAAUAAAAAUGGUUUACUGGAGUACACCUAUUAAAAAUCCUGAAGGUAGGAWUUUUUUUGAAAUCAGGCUUCAAUAAUGAAUGUAUAUGAAAAACUUAUUUGUAAAAUGCAAARCAUUUUCUGAUGUGGGUUUUUUCCAACUGUUAGAUAUUUAUUCAGUUAUUCAGUUUAAUCUUUUUUUGGACCACUGCUUGUUUUAUCUGCAGUAAUAAGCUAUUGACAAGCUGAACUGGUGUUAGCAAUUUACAGAUAGUUUUGAUUCAAACUCCUAAAUGCCCUUAGUGGCUUCUCAUAAUAGGAAUAUUUUAGCUGUGAGUCAUUUUUGCCAGAUAACUGAUUCUGUCUGGGGGAUUCAAGGCCGUUUUCAGUUUGUAUGUAUAAAGCUUCUUGCCAGACUUGUAUGGAAUUUGGUUUCCCAAUGCAGUUUCAUAUGGCACAAAUGGUCUAUUUGCUCAUUACAUUACACUGGUAUAGUACUAAUGAUAGUGUACUAAUUGUAGAACUGUAAUGCAGCAGCCUGUGCUGCUGCUCUUGGCAUUACUGCACUGUGGGUGCCAGACUUCAUCUUUGCUAAGGCUCAUGCAGUUCCUGUUGGCCUGGCAGUGCAGACUGUCCAAGACUCUCUGCAUAGCAGCUCAUCUGUCCCCUCGACCUCUCCCUUCUCCCCAUUUGGUGUCAUCUGCAAACCCAGGGCACAUGGGUUUCAUCACGUUAUCCAGCUGACAUGAGCAGUGCCAGACCCAGCUCAACUGGUUCAGCUUUGAGCUACAAACCACUGGAAAUGGAAGAAAGCCUCUGAGAACAGAACGUGUUCCAAGCUGUGUGAGAUCACUGCUGGCUGUCUGGUUUUCCCCGUUCACUGGUGUUGGUUAGGAGAUGAAAUGGAUGGGUGUUGAUCACAUUCAGACUGUUUGAAGUUAGUUUUGGAGGACUGGAGGACAUGUUCUGACCUGGCAUUUGAGGUGACCGGUUGGCAUAUGGAACUUYAUCAGUUCUUUAUGUGAGUGUGAAUAACUGCAGUGGGUUAUUGGCUGUGAAAUCUGACUACUUUURUAGUAAUGAGAGUUUUUAAACUUCAUUUGCACUAUGCACUGAUAAACUGCUUCYAUUCUCUUGUGUGACUGGCUAAAUCUUCUCACCUUUUCUGUCUGACUACAAAUACUUCUAGGAAUACAACAGAAAUAUGUAAAAUAUUUUAGGAAAAGAUGUGCUGCRUUUUUUCUCUUCUAAUGUAGCAUAGCAGCUGGAAGCACAGAAAACUGGGACCGAGUGACCAGCCAUCCAUUCUGGUGCUGAAAGRUGGGAGAUGCCAACAGCAAGGGACUCUGCCCACUGCUAUGCUGUGAAGUUCAGUAGCAGUUACUGAGCUGUUUAAAGAGUGCACAGAGCCAGCUGUUCCAAAAGAUGCAUGAAUACRUUUGGGUUUCACUGAAGCUUACUCAGAGGUACUGCCAAGUGAAUGCAAUUUGGGAAGGAAGAACAGAGCAAGUUCUACCAUGGCAGAUACCAUCAGAAUUCUUUGARGAAAGGUAAUCUAGAGUUUUAAAACUACUGUAAGUUUUAAUAAAUCUUGACAUACUUUUGAGUGUUUCAAGACUUUUGAUACUCAAGGGCAUGUGACUGAAAUUAURUUUUAGAAAUUUUGCCUUGAAGUGAGAGCUGCCUGUCCAUUCCCCACCACUGCCUUACCCAGACAGUCCUGAAUUCUUGYAUCAUUUCAGGCUUUCAGGAACUAACGGCUUCAGGGAAACAACAAACAUGAGUCUCUGAUACUCUAGUGAUGCCAGUAACAUUAUCCAAAUGCAGUCAGUCCUUUGCUGGCACUGCACUGUGUGAGCACUGUGAGAAUAGUCAGAUUUGUAUAUUUAGGUAGGAAAGGAGCUCAUGAAUUACUCCGCAAAACAGUAUCAAAGAUUAUAAAGUGAUGUCAAACAAAGAUAUUUCCUGUCUAUUAAACAUGUACUAAAGGUGUUCCUGGGAGAUCACAGGAGUACAACUACCAGUCCUCUGCACAAACCAAAUUGGAAACUUCAGGAAUUUCCUUGUAAGACUUUUUAUGAUCACAAAAUAUACUUGCAGAGUUUAUACAUACRUUUGUGUACAAGUACCUUUAGAUGAUCAACUGUGAUAAAAGAAAGGUAUUGACCAUUCUAGUACUUUUUCAGACCUGAAACUGUUAAAAGUGUCAAAUUCUGUACAUCUGGGCACAGAAUCAGUUGCUGGCAGCAGAUAUUCUCAGCUGGAAUUUACCUUCAUGUUUCCAGAUUAAUUCCCUGACGUGAGGGUGCAUCUGUCUACAUGAGAGUUUGUUUUCCCAAAUGGAUCCACUAGAAAGUCUUGUGGUGACUGUUACUCUUUCCUGCCCUAAGGUUUGCUGCUACUCCAGCUGCUGCUGUAGUGCUUUCUCUAUUAGAAAGAAAUGGUGCAGCAUAGCCUUUCUUGCAGAAGUUCUUUUGCUCUUCCUGUGUCAGUUCCUCUGAUACACUUUAGCACAGAAAGAAAAACAAGGAUUUUCUGAAAAUAAAUUUAGAAAUGCCCAUGUUAAGAAUCAAUAUAGUCAAAUUCACGCCAGUGUCAAUGCUUUGGGUGUACUCUUCAGAAACUAUUUUAAAGCAUCUGUAAAUAAAAUGAGAAUAUUUGUUUAGAAUUUUAUUUCAUCACUGAAAACAAAAUUCGGAAUAAUGAUGCGACCUUGAAAAGGUUUAAAACUCAGCUUUGUUCAUGAUUUUUGUCUUUAACAUUUGUUUAUCCCAUAGUUGAGUGAGCAGCAUGAGUGCCACCCUGUGCUAGGCCUGCUGCAACUGAUUCAAGAGCUUUACUUUCAGAAGCUCCACCUACCAGACCUUUGCACGAACAAUUCAAAAUAAUUUAAAAAAGGAGGAAUGYUAAAAAGAUUUCUGCUGAAAUAAGUCACCCAUCAGUCUGUCUAAUGUGGGCUAUGCUGCCAGGCAGACACAGAGCACUUCAACAAAUAUUUUAAUGAUUGGAUUAAAUUUGAGCUUAAAAAGGAGGGAAGGAAGAAGCUGUCAGAAGCCCAUGGCUGAGCAGGUCUUGUAGCCACAGUAAAAGCUACCUCAGCAGUCAAAUCCUAUUUAUUUCAGAACCAUGCAGUUACCUGCAGUUCUGUUCCCUUGAUUGACAGGAGGACAGUAACCUUGAGCAGCUCUCUGGAUAUUCCUUGUUUAUAGCAGAAGUAACGAAAUUAGGAAGAGGUGUAGUUACUGCAAAGGUGCACAUGCUACUUUCAACAGCUUUUGUAGCCCUUUGUAAACUAACAAGUACUCACAUCACAGUUGAAAUUCUUUAGCUUAUUUGCAAGUAACCUAAGCACAAUGCACAGUGAGAUUGAUUAGAAUGACUUGUUUAGUGUAAAAGCAGCACACUGAGCUUAAGAAACCUGGAGAGAGUUUUGUACUGACAUCAUCACUAUUUCUUGAGAAAAAGCAUCUUGUGGGUCAACAGCCCUCUCACUGCAGGCUCUUUUGGUUUAAUAAACAGAAAAUUUGCGUGUGGGUACAUGAAUAAAUAAGUUUGUUUCCUGCUUUCUUCAGGGAAGGUAAUUCACACAACAUCCUAGUUAUCAAAAAAAUACAUUGUCUUUUAUUURUAGGUUUUUUACCAGCCCAGAGAGACAAACUGAAAAGAUAAAGUAUUGUAACACUUCCUUGGUUUUAAGAAUAUCUGUGGCUCCAUCCUCCUCUGUGUGUGUAUGUGUGCAUGUUUCAGGCUGUGGCUUAAGUCUAGGCUUCUCAGUUUCUAUACUGGCAAAACCUUCCCAAAGGCUUUCUUUGGUCCAGCCUUUCUCCACAGGAAUGAUGGUGG